UGAGGAAUAUUGGUCAAUGGGCGAGAGCCUGAACCAGCCAAGUAACGUGCGGGACGCGUCCCGUAUUGAGAGUACCCGAAGAAAAAGCAUCGGCUAACUCCGUGCCAGCAGCCGCGGUAAUACGGAGGAUGCGAGCGUUAUCCGGAUUUAUUGGGUUUAAAGGGUGCGCAGGCGGCGCGCCAAGUCAGCGGUCAAAGUUCCGGGCUCAACCCGGUGUCGCCGUUGAAACUGGCGUGCUCGAGUGCGUGCGAGGAAGGCGGAAUGCGUUGUGUAGCGGUGAAAUGCAUAGAUAUGACGCAGAACUCCGAUUGCGAAGGCAGCUUUCCAGCGCGCUACUGACGCUGAGGCACGAAAGCGUGGGGAUCGAACAGGAUUAGAUACCCUGGUAGU
rnacentral:rRNA from 1 species